GUCCUAGCUUUGGUAGUACAUAUACUGAAAUUGGCAUGAUACAGAGAAGAUUAGCAUGGCCCCUGCUCAAGGAUUACACACAAAUUAAUGAAGUGUACCAUAUUUUU
ensembl:snRNA U6 U6 spliceosomal RNA